rnacentral:lncRNA from 1 species
CAUGAAUGUGGAGGUGCCUCUGGCUGGGUCAGGGAGAUCUGAAUGUGCUUGCUAUUGCUGCCAUUUGUGGUGUCUUAGUCAGUGUUUACAAAGUCAAUGGGAUGAGUAGAUGCUACUGACAAAGUCGUCUGCUCACCCUGAGCACCCAGGCUAGGGAUGGCUGCAGACAUAUCCAGAGGCAUUGCACAACCCCGGGGCCCAGAAACAAGAUUCAGCCUGGGCAGGGCUCAAACAGGCCACAGUUGUCCUGCACGGAAGGAAAAAAAAUGUGAUUUUAAUAGAGGAUAAUUGUAUUGAGCAACAAUAAACAAAAGGGCUUUUACGUGCUUCUUCCACAUACUGAAGUCCUAAGUCUCAACUUACCUAUGUGAGUCACAGGUCAGACUGUAUGUGUGCAGAAUAAAUCUUCCUGAGCCCCACAGGGGUGGUAGAGGUACCUGGGCUGUCAGCACAGUGCCCUGCCUCCUGUGAUGUGUGAUCAGGGAGCAGGCUCUGAGCAGGCAGCAGCUCCUGGGCACACCUGUGUCUGUGCUGCUCUGCUGCUCUCUGCCUUGCCAGCUGGGAGCCCUCCUGAUAUUUUAAGGUCUGUUCCCUGACCUGUGUUCUACCAGAAGUGUUUGCAGAUCCUUGCUGGAGUGCUGAGAAGAUGUCUUCCCAUGGUCACUCUAUUUCUCUUGGAAAGCUCUGGUUUUCUGCAGGGAGUCGUCUGCAAGAUUACAUUUUUGAUUGGCUGAGCUGCCCUCACUUGUUUGUAUCGAGGAGUGACGGUGUUCCAGCAUGCCGUCCUCUGCUCCUGAGAGAGGCCUCUCGUGAAGAAACAGCUCACCUUUCCCCUGGAUGUGCUGGGGUUACACCUCCCCUUUGCCCUGGAUCUGCUGGGGUUACACCUCAGCCCAGGAGGGCACUCCCCAGCCCUGGCUGCUCUCCCAGCACCCCUGUGGCCGUGCUGGGAGCGAAUGCCGGGGCGGAGGGAGGAUCACAGCCUGGUGGCAGGAUCUGCCCGGUGGCUCCCAGGUGCAGCUCUUGCAGCAGUGCCCCAGCCCAGCAGUGAGCUUGCAGAGAGGAGUGAGGCUGGGCAGAGCUGGUGCCAGCAGGAGGGCAGGCUCGCGCCGCCUGCGCGCCGUAUCUCUGCGAAGGAUGCUGCAAUGGCAAUUCUUACCUUGGCUCAAGCACACCCAGGGUCUAGCAGGAGAUAAUCCAUUUCUUCUAAUGAAGCAAGUAUAAGUGGCAGAUAGGAAUUUUUUAGCAGUGUUGGCUGCCCCAAAUAAAACACAGCAGAGAUGUUACUCCUUGUUGUGUUGGCCCUGUUCUUGUCCCCACUGCCAGCCCAAGCAAUGGGUAAAGGUAUGGAAACCACUUUCAAUUUUAAUAAUUAAAUACAUGAGAGCAUUCUGACUUUUCCUAUGAGGAACGGUGCUUGUCCCUGUUGUGUUUUGUCUGGAGACAAUAUUGUUCUUUAGUAAAAAGAAAAUCUUUUGAAGUGGCCAAGACACUCAGCUUCCCAUCCCUACAUUUCUAAACUGUAUUUGAUUAUAGUCAAAUAUAAGAGACUAUAAGAGAUAAGAUAAAUGGCUAUCUUAUACUCAAAAUGGUCACAGUAAGCUUAGUGAAACCAAGUAUUAUUUUUUUAAAAAUUUCGGACUUUAAUAAUUUCCAUGUUCUCCUUCAGAGCUGACUGUAUAUCAAAGGAGGUGAAAGCACCAUUGAAAAACAAACUGGGAUUCCUUCAAGGGAAAGGCUAAGGAAAUGUACACCAUUAAGAGGAUUUGAAAGCCCAUGAAUACGUAGGUGUGACACGAAAUACUGACUAUCACUGCAGAAUACUUAGGAUUAUUCCAAACUACCAGUGAAGUUUCAGUCUAGAUUCAGGUGAUACAUUGAAGAAAAAAAAAAUCAUGGAAAAACCCUGCUAACAGGUUUGUAGCACUGUUCUCACACUUGGGGACAGGACACUAACAGUUUGGGUUCAGAAUUUGAUAAUUUGAUAUUUUGAUGAUGAUAAAUUGAGUGGCUUAGACUCUGCCUAGCAAAUUUACUAAGGCACCUUCUAAGACCUUUCUCAUAAUCUGGUGAUAUUUGGAGUCUUGGUAAUCAUUAAAAUACAAUUCAUCAUCUCCCUUCACAGUGGUCUGUGACAUCCAUUUAGGACUCUAUGUAUGUUAUUUCUGAAUGGCUGUCUUCAUACAUCUAUUCUGUUGUUUAAAAACCAGGAAAAAAACGUAGCUUUCCAUGAUGUGCAGUACCAUAAAAAUGAUUCAGCUAGGAGUCCACAACACAGGCAAAAUUUCAGUGCUCUUCAAUAUCCUCAUGGAACAAAUGGAGUUGUGUUGAAUCAAAUUAAAUAAUUCCAGGUAUUUAAAUCCUCGCUGCUUAGGGGACUGUUUUGAAAGCACAAAGGCAAAGAGUGCACUCUCAGCAAGUUUGCAGAUGGCACCAAGCUGAGUCAUGCUGUUCCAGCCUGAGGGAUGGGAUGCCAUCCCUAGGGACCAGGACAAGCUCCAGAAGUGGAUCCAUGGGAAACUCAUGAGGCACAAGGCUUUGUGCAAGGGCUGCACCUGAGUAAAGGGAGCCCCUGGUAUCCAUGCAGGCUGGGGGAUGAAGGAAUUGAGAACAGCUCUAUGGAGAAGGACUUGGGGUUGCUGGUGGAUGAGAGGCUGGAUGUGAGCUGGCAGUGUCCUCUCAAAGACCAAUAAGCCAACCACAGGCUGGGCUGCAUCAAGGGAAAUGUGGCCAACAGGACGAGGGAGGUGAUUCUCCCCCUCCACUCCUGGGAAAGCACAUGUGGGGUGCUGCUUUCAGCUCUGGAGCUCUCGGCACAGGAAAGACAUGGACCUGUUGGAGCAAGUCCAGAGGAAGGUCAUGAAGAUGAUCAGAGGGCUGGAUCACCUCUCAUAUGAGGAAAAUCUGAGAGUUCAGGUUGUUCAGCCAGGAGAAAAGAAGGCUCUGGGGAGAUCUCAUAGCAUCUUCCAGUAGCUAAAGAGAGAAAGAUGGG